rnacentral:snRNA from 1 species
UACCUCUGGUCCCUUUGCAUUUAACCGAGAAAAUCUUUCGCCUUUUACUAAAGAUUUCCGUGCAAAGGGACAAUUAUGAGUAUUUACNNN